GGCUCAGUGGUAGAGUGCUUGCCUUGCAUGCAUGAGGCCCUGGGUUCGAUUCCUCAG
rfam:Dipodomys ordii contig_25279, whole genome shotgun sequence.